rnacentral:ncRNA from 1 species
GUCAACCACCCCCGACUGAAUUCGGAGGCUUGCCUUACGGCCAUGCCUGGGUUGACAAGGAAAAGCGGUACCCAACCCGCUGCGUUGCAAGGAGUAGAGGAGACCCUCGUCGGGAUGCUUCCUCAGUCCCGACCUCUAGAAGCCGGGGUUGCAGACAACCCUGAGAGCAUGGGCGCUGGCGGGCUCCGGCAGACGGCCGACAUGCAACAUUCCCGAAGGGGAGACGCCCCGAAAGGGGU